rnacentral:rRNA from 1 species
CAGUCGCCGCGGGAAAACGAAGGGGGCUAGCGUUGCUCGGAAUCACUGGGCGUAAAGGGUGCGUAGGCGGGUCUUUAAGUCAGGGGUGAAAUCCUGGAGCUCAACUCCAGAACUGCCUUUGAUACUGAAGAUCUUGAGUUCGGGAGAGGUGAGUGGAACUGCGAGUGUAGAGGUGAAAUUCGUAGAUAUUCGCAAGAACACCAGUGGCGAAGGCGGCUCACUGGCCCGAUACUGACGCUGAGGCACGAAAGCGUGGGGAGCAAACAGGAUUAGAGACCCCAGUAGUCCCUGUCUCUUAUAC